CCUACGGGUGGCAGCAGUGAGGAAUAUUGGUCAAUGGGCGGGAGCCUGAACCAGCCAAGCCGCGUGAGGGAAGAAGGUACAGCGUAUCGUAAACCUCUUUUGUCAGGGAACAAAGGCGGGGACUAGUCCCCGGAUGAGGGUACCUGAAGAAAAAGCAUCGGCUAACUCCGUGCCAGCAGCCGCGGUAAUACGGGGGAUGCGAGCGUUAUCCGGAUUUAUUGGGUUUAAAGGGUGCGCAGGCGGCCUGUUAAGUCAGCGGGAAAAGCCCGGGGCUCAACCCCGGCGAGCCGUUGAAACUGGCGGGCUGGAGUUGGAGAGAAGUACGCGGAAUGCGUGGUGUAGCGGUGAAAUGCUUAGAUAUCGCGCAGAACCCCGAUUGCGAAGGCAGCGUACCGGCUCCACACUGACGCUGAGGCACGAAAGCGUGGGUAUCGAACAGGAUUAGAUACCCUAGUAGUC
rnacentral:rRNA from 1 species